UUCAUUGAUUGCUUGAAUUUAUGUUGAUAGUUUUAUAUUUAAUUUAUAUUCACAGGCAGUCUCAAGGUUGCUUUUAUAGAGACUCUUGUCACGACUACAGGAGGCCUCAAACAUCGUAUAGAUUUUAAAAUAUUGCUUAUUACUUAUAAAGCCCUGAAUGGCUUAGCACCUCAGUAUUUGAAUGAGCUCCUUUUACAUUAUAAUCCUCUACAUCCCCUACGUUCUCAAAACUCAGCCAAUUUUGAAAAUACCUAGAAUAUCAAAAUCAACUGCGGGCGGCAGAUCCUUUUCCUAUUUGGCGCCUGAACUCUGGAAUAACCUAUCUAACAUUGUUCAGGAGGCAUACACACUCUUGCAGUUUAAAUCUAGAUUAUAGACCCAUCUCUUUAACCUGGCUUACACAUAACAUGCUAAUAUGCUUUUAUUAUCCAAAUCCGUUAAAGGAUUUUUAGGCUGCAUUAUUUAGGUAAACCGGAACCGGGAACACUUCCCAUAACACCCUAUGUACUUGCUACAUCAUUAGAAGAAUGGCAUCUACGCUAAUAUUUGUCUGUUUCUCUCUUAUUCCGAGGUAACCGUAGCCACCAGAUCCAGUCUGUAUCCAGAUUAGAGGGUCUCUGCAGUCACCCUGUUCCAGUACGUAUCCAGACCAGAUGGUGGAUCAGCACCUAGAAAGGACCUCUACUGCCCUGAAAGACAGCAGUGACCAGGACAACUAGAGCCCCAGAUACAGAUCCCCUGUAAAGACCUUGUCUCAGAGGACCACCAGGACAAGACCACAGGAAACAGAUGAUACUUCUGCACAAUCUGACUUUGCUGCAGCCUGGAAUUGAACUAUUUGUUUCGUCUGGUCAGAGGAGAACUGGCCCCCAAACUGAGCCUGGUUUCUCCCAAGGUUUUUUUCUUCAUUCUGUCACCGAUGGAGUUUCGGUUCCUUGCCACUGUCGCCUCUGGCUUGCUUAGUUGGGGUCACUUCAUCUACAGCAAUAUCGUUGACUUGAUUGCAAAUAAAUGCACAGACACUAUUUAACUGAACAGAGAUGACAUCACUGAAUUCAAUGAUGAUCUGCCUUUAACUAUCAUUUUGCAUUAUUGACACACUGUUUUCCUAAUGAAUGUUGUUCAGUUGCUUUGACGCAAUGUAUUUUGUUUGAAGCGAUAUAUAAAUAAAGGUGACUUGACUUGACUUGUGAAUCGCCUGGACACAAGACGUACCUCUUUAGUGAUUUUGAAUGAAAUUGCUGGACUAAUGGGACAUACCAAAACCAUUGCAUCUGAGCAGAUGAUUGACUGAAAUUGGUCUGACUGUACCUUGCAUUUCAAAACUGCUUGGCAUGUCAACACGAACGCAGAAUGCAAGAGUUUGGCAUAACAGUGAGAGGAACAUACAGUCAAUUGACUAAUGAAGAGUUAGACAAUCUUGUGGCUGCAAUCAAAACAACAUCACCACACUCAGGCUACAGAAUGAUGAGAGGACACUUGAAAGCUCUUGGUCAUCGAGUCCAGUGGAGCAGAGUCUUCAGCUCUAUGAAUAGAGUUGAUUCGGCUGAAGUCCUUGCUAGAAUGUCACAACUUGGGCAUGUUGUGAGGAGAUCAUAUUCAGUUCAGGCCCCUCUGUCCCUCAUGCAUUUGGACACCAACCACAAGCUGAUCAGGUCAUGUAUCUGGAGGCUGCAACCAACAACAAAGCAGAGACUGCACUAGGUUUCUUCCUCAAGGCAGUAGAAAAGCGUGCAGUUCCUUCACGGGUAAGAGCAGACCAAGGUGUAGAAAAUGAGGACAUUGCAAGGUGGAUGUUCACUGUUCAGGGCUGUGGCAGGGGAAGUUUCAUUUCGGGGAAGAGCGUUCAUAAUCAAAGGGUCGUACGGCUAUGGAAAGAUGUGUGGAUGUCUGUUUCAAACUUGUAUUAUGAUGUUCUACAUAAUUUGGAAGAGAGUGGCUCUCUUGACCCAUCAAACACUAUUCACUUUUUCUGUGCAUAUUCUGUGCAACCAUUAGUCCAGUCUCACAGUCAGGAGACUUUGGCCAAGAUAUUUACUUAUCAGUGUUAAGUUUUGUGCAGCUGCUUCUUGAAUAACACUUUGGAGCUCAAAACAUCAGACUAUAAGUUACGUAAAAGAAAAAAAAAAAUCCUGUAAAGUUGUCUUUGUCUUGUAUGGUGUCAUUAUUCUAUUGUGAAAUUGAUCAGUGCUUCCCACACAGAGAUUAAACAAAAAAUAAUAAUUAUAUACAAGACUAAUGUGGUAAAUGUGACUAAACACCUUUGGCAUGAAA